ensembl:lncRNA BACE1-AS BACE1 antisense RNA
GUUCAACAUUAUGCUUUUAAGGAUUAGAUAGAAGAGGUCUCCUACCUAUUCCUUUUAGCACCUUGGCUGCAAAGCUCCAGAGGAAGAUUUGGGGGAAAGAGUGAGCCUAUGACCAGGAAGACAGAGCCCAGCCCUGCUAUAGUCCAGUUGCUCUCCCACAGGGCACCUGGAGCUUAGGGGGUUAGGAUAUUUCAGUGCUGCCUAUCAUAUGUAGAAUAAAGGGUGGUUCAGAUAGAGACAAUGAAAUUAAUAUGGCAGAAAUUCAUGUGUUAAGUGGAACUUCUUAGUGGGCACUUCAUUUAAGAGAGCUAAAAAAGAGCUCUUUGGCUAGAUAAGCCCUUCCCAUCUCACUUUUGGUCAGGCUGCAACCACAGAAAAGAAAACAUUGAAAACAACACCCAUCUUCUGAGAUGGGAUGCUAUCUUGGAGAUGAGGUCUAAAACUAGGACUGGUGAGUGGUUGUGUUUCUGCCUUUCCUAGCUUUGAUCCCACUAUUCCCUGUCUUUGUACUCCCUCUCCUUCUCCUCUUUCCAGCCGCCCCCAUUUGUAUAAAUAGUCAAUCUAGUUUUUUUUUUUAAUUCAAGAGGCAAUCUUUGCACCAAUGUUAGGCUUGUUUAUACAGUCCCUGUCUCUAAAGCAAAUAGCAAACUGUGCAUCCUCUCCUACUGACUUUGGCCAGCAGGGAAACAAGCUUGGUCUCUUCUCUGCCAGGGUACCACAGGGACACACGCCAAGGUAACCUGCGUGUGAUGCCAGUACUUCUGAAACUAAGAAAAGAAGAAUACUUUGGGUUGGAGAAUUUAAAGGAAUGGUGGACAAAGGUUCAGGGCUGAAGUUUCAAGCAGCAGAAUUUCCCGACUUAAAUUUGAGGUGACCAAGAGUAUUCCCGCCAGCAGAGUGCUUCUUUCUUCUCUUUUCUGUUUCCUACAGGUACAGUCCCUGGAACCCACCUUGCCAGCCUUUUCCUUCUCCAUCAAGGCAGAGGCAUUUGGUGGGUGGGGAGGGUCCUGAGGUGCUCUGGCCACAGGUGCCAUCUGUGUCUCCUACUUGUGACCAAAGUGAACCACGGAGGUGUGGUCCAGGGGAAUCUCUAUCUUCUGCCCAUGGGCCUCCUCACUUCAGCAGGGAGAUGUCAUCAGCAAAGUCAUCAUGCUGCUGGCGCAGGCAGCGGAGGCAGCGCCACUGACACACCAUGAGGCAGAGUGGCAGCAUGAAGAGGGCGCAGAUGGCAGCCAUGACAUAGGCUAUGGUCAUGAGGGUUGACUCAUCUGUCUGUGGAAUGUUGUAGCCACAGUCUUCCAUGUCCAAGGUGACAAAAGGGCCUUCCACCGCUGCCGUCCUGAACUCAUCGUGCACUGGGGAGAGGGCAAAUGUGAAUGGACAGCUCUCAUUGUCAUAGAGGAGUUAACAAAAAGAACUUCCUGAUAGUGAGGCCUUGAAAUUAGCCCAUGCAGAAGUUAUCUAAUCUCCUUCCCAGGAGAUAUUUAGGAGCAGGCUGGGAAGCCAGCACCAGGUAGAGGCCUGUCUCCCUUCCCAAGUCACUGGGAGCAGCAGCCCUUCCUUGUAUACCCAGCUGGUAGGAGUGAUAACUAAAAGUCAGUAGUUCUGAGUUGACCAAAAGCCACCCCCUUGACCAAAAGCCAAAUCUAGUAAACUUAACUUUCUGCUGCUGAAAUCCAACUGCAAAACCCUGCCACCUUUCUGAAGUAGCAUUCAGCCUCACCAUGUGGCAGCUGACAGGGUCACUAUAGACUCAGUCUGCUACCCUUGCAUCAAGAGCUUCCCAAGGUACCCAGGUAACUCUUGCUGCUCUGGGUUUCCAACAGAGGUUACCAAUCCAGGCAGUGGUCAUUAUGGCAGGCAGUACAAAAAAAGGACGAGCAUUGACACUAGCUUUUGCACAACUGUUGACUUGGGUUUGAGGCAACUGUUACUACCCUCCCCUAAACUGACAGGGACCCAGGUAUACUAACUGUUGUUUGACAAGGAAAAUAUGGAGAGACUGACCCCAAACCCUCAGCCCUGGCACUCUCACCAUGGCAAGCGCUGACAGCAAAGCCAAUUCGUUUUCGGGCCCGAUCAAAGACAACGUAGAAGCCCUCCAUGAUAACAGCUCCCAUAACAGUGCCCGUGGAUGACUGUGAGAUGGCAAACUUGUAACAGUCGUCUUGGGACGUGGCCACAUCUUCCACUGGCCGCAGGUAUUGCUAGGGGUAAGCAAUCACAGGGUGAGUGUCUUCCUCACUCUCCUUCACCCCAUCUCUGCCUUGUAGGCAUCUAUGCCCUUCCCUUUACCAUCCCUGAGCUCUAACGGGUUUUCUGAGACCCCUUUACUGCUGGACACUACUCAUCUGUUUUGUCUUCCAAGUUCUGGCAAGCCAUACCUGCUCACUGUCUCCCAGUGUGUACUUUUAAGAGAGAUCCCCCUGACUCAGGCUGGGACAUACCUGCGGAAGGAUGGUGAUGCGGAAGGACUGGUUGGUAACCUCACCCAUUAGGUAGAGUGAGAUGACUGGGAAAAUGUUCCAAGGGGUGGUGCCUGCUUGCCAGCACACCAGCUGCUCUCCUAGCCAGAAACCAUCAGGGAACUUCUCCGUCUGUGUUGGCAAGAAGGGGAUAACAAUGAGGAAAAGCCUCUUUAUCAUCUCGCCCCUCCCAUGUUCAGAUACAUUAACUGGGCCCUUCAUUUGCUUUUCCAGUGAAAUAUCUAAAGUGGGGAGGGGUAAACCAACCAGAGGAUUACAGGAAGAGAGAGGGAGUGUGAUGUCAAACUUUUGUACCGGGGGAUUGUGUGAUGAGCAAAGUGACAGCCAUAAAGGGGAAGAGUUUUUUUUUUUUUUUUGAAACAGUGUCUCACUCUGUUGCCCAGGCUGGAGUGCAGUGGCGCAAUCAUGGCUCACCGCAACCUCCACCGUCCUGAGUUAAAGUGAUUCUCCUGUCUCAGCCCCCUGAGUAGCUAGGAUUACAGGCGUGCGCCACCACACCCAGCUAAUUUUUGUACUUUUAGUAGAGAUGGGAUUUCACCCUGUUGGUCAGGCUGGUCUUGAACUCCUGACCUAGUGAUCUGCCCACCUUGGCCUCCCAAAGUGCUGGGAUUACAGGCGUGAGCCACCACGCCUGGCUAGGGGAAGAGUGUUUUAAGAGCUCUGAGUAGAAGGGUCUAAGUGCAGACAUCUUGGCUGUUGCUGAAGAAUGUGACUCUCACCGCCUCCCUCUGACACUGUACCAUCUCUUUUACCCCCAUCCUUAGUCCACUCACGGAGGAGGCUGCCUUGAUGGAUUUGACUGCAGCUUCAAACACUUUCUUGGGCAAACGAAGAUGGAGUAUUAGCUCUGUCACCCAGGCUGGAGUACAGUGGCGUGAUCUCGGCUCACUCUAACCUCUGCCUCCUGGAUUCAAACCAUUCUUUUGCCUCAGCCUCCCAAGUAGCUGGGACUACAGGUGCCUGCCACCACGCCUGGCUAUUUUUAGUAGAGAUGGGGUUUCACCAUGUUGACCAGGCUGGUCUCGAAUUUCUGACCUCAAAUGAUCUGCCCCCGCCUUGGCCUCCCAGAGUGCUGGGAUUACAGCCACGCCCGGCCGCUUUUAACUUUUCUUAGUACAUUUAUAUCUAUUCUAAUUUAACAUACAUAAGAAUCUAGGGAAGGAAGACAUAAAUGAUUUAGUUACCUUUUAUUGAGUACUGCCAACCACAGAGAUAAACACUUUACACAUUAUCUCUGAUAUUCUGAGAAAGUUGUUUUUACCUGUUUUGCAGAUAAGGAAACUGAGACACAGAAUAGUAACUGGCCUAAGGGUACAUAGCUAGUACAAAUCAGAGCUAGAUUCAGAUCUGGGUCUUCCUGACUCCAAAGACAAGACUCUUCAUUCUAUCACCCUGUCUCACAAAAGACUUGCCCAAGGCUACGAAGCAAGGCAGUGACUAGAGUCCAGACAUCAGAACUAGUUCCAUGUUUUUUUUUUCACUACCAGUCCCUAGGCCCCAAACCGCAGAUCCUGCUGUGUGACCAUUAAGCCCCUGACUGUUCUAGGCUCAACUUCCAACCCUUUCUGCAGGUCCUAUUACCUCUGCCUCAUCCUCCCAACAUGAUAACCAGAGUCUUCCUUCACAUUGUACUGCCUACCCCCUUAUGUUCCCAGGCUCUCCCUUGGUUUUCUUACCUCCUUGCAGUCCAUUUUCAGAUCCUGUCCAUUGAUCUCCACCCGCACAAUGAUCACCUCAUAAUACCACUCCCGCCGGAUGGGUGUAUACCAGAGACUGCCUGUGUACAGCGAGUGGUCGAUACCUCCAAUGAUCUAGGGAAAAAAAGAGGCAGGUACCCGUGUCCUGGCACAGAAGGAGAGUGAGUCCCCCAAGGACCAAGCAAUAAGAUCAGUGAUUUCUUGGGGUGGCAAGGUCUUCUACAGGCUACCCUUUUCAUCUUCCUGCUUCUAAACAAAUCAUACCCAAAGUGAUUUCUAGUUUCUUAAAUGUGUUCAGGAGAAAAGACUUUCCGGGAUUUUUAAUUAUUUGUUUCAGAAUCAUACAGCCCUUGAUAUAAAGUUAUUUAAAUCUAAACUGCCACAAUAAAUGUUGAAUGAAU